rnacentral:rRNA from 1 species
GUGGGGAAUCUUAGACAAUGGGGGCAACCCUGAUCUAGCCAUGCCGCGUGAGUGAUGAAGGCCUUAGGGUCGUAAAGCUCUUUCGCUGGGGAAGAUAAUGACGGUACCCAGUAAAGAAACCCCGGCUAACUCCGUGCCAGCAGCCGCGGUAAUACGGAGGGGGUUAGCGUUGUUCGGAAUUACUGGGCGUAAAGCGCGCGUAGGCGGAUUGGAAAGUUGGGGGUGAAAUCCCGGGGAUCAACCCUGGAAUGGCCUUCAAAACUCCCAGUCUUGAGGUCGAGAGAGGUGAGUGGAAUUCCGAGUGUAGAGGUGAAAUUCGUAGAUAUUCGGAGGAACACCAGUGGCGAAGGCGGCUCACUGGCUCGAUACUGACGCUGAGGUGCGAAAGCGUGGGGAGCAAACAGGAUUAGAAACCCGGGUAGUCC